rnacentral:rRNA from 1 species
GGCGAUCAGAUACCGCCCUAGUUCUGACCGUAAACGAUGCCAACUAGCGAUCCGCCGGUGGCCCUUAGGCCCUGGUGGGGAGCUUCCCGGAAACGAAAGUCUUCCGGUUCCGGGGGAAGUAUGGUUGCAAAGCUGAAACUUAAAGGAAUUGACGGAAGGGCACCACCAGGAGUGGAGCCUGCGGCUUAAUUUGACUCAACACGGGAAAACUCACCCGGCCCGGACACCGUAAGGAUUGACAGAUUGAUAGCUCUUUCAUGAUUCGGUGGUUGGUGGUGCAUGGCCGUUCUUAGUUCGUGGAUCGAUUUGUCUGGUUUAUUCCGAUAACGAGCGAGACUCUAGCCUACUAACUAGUGCGGGCAUUGCCGCUGUGCCUCGCCGCACUUCUUAGAGGGAUUGGCUGCGUCUAGCAGCACGAAACGGAGCAAUAACAGGUCUGUGAUGCCCUUAGAUGUCCGGGGCUGCACGCGCGCUACACUGGCAAAGGCAGCGUGCUUGUCCGCCUCCGAAAGGAGCCGGUAAACCCAUGAAAAUUUGCCGUGAUUGGGAUCGGAAAUUGCAAUUAUUUUCCGUGAACGAGGAAUUCCAAGUAAGUGCGAGUCAUCAGCUCGCGUUGAUUACGUCCCUGCCCUUUGUA